GAUUCACUGAGCUGGGAUAAUGAUGAGGCUACGGACACUGGAGAGAUGCAGGCCCCAUUCCAAGCACAGCACUGCUAUUCUGUUCUGUACAGCCCAACGCAUUUUAGGUUAGUCUCUGUGGAGCAGUGAAGUGCCCACUCUUUUCCCCUCUACGGCAAAUAUUCUGUCUGAGAGGAUGAACUAAGUGGUUAAUCAAGCUGAAGCCUCUGCCUUGUUUGAGGGGCCAAGAGUGGCCAGGAGAGGCCCGUGGCUAUGGAUGCUCCACGGACCGUACACAAACACACACACACUCCGAACGCACACACACCGCAUUACAAACACACAGGGAGGGAAUGGGCAGACGAUGGAAGCAGACACUCAGAGGCUCGUGUCUGCCUCAGUGCCCAGAAGAGGUGAAAGGUCGUCCAGCUCUGAGAGGGGCAGCGGGUGUCCCACUGGACAGAGGAGUUAUUUUGUGUGAUGGUGAGGUGGAUAGUGCAGACUACUUGUUGCAUGUCUUUACAUGACCUCUCUCCUCUUCUUUCUGAGAACUCAAGUAUCAUCAUCAAGGUCUGAUUGUCCAGCCAGAAUUCCAUCAAACGCUUAAAGAAAGUGACACGUUCAUAUUUCAUGAACCAUUGACUUUCUACAAUGUUUCUGUUUCUAUGUUUCUACAUUGUUAUGUGUUUUCCUGCAAAUAACUUUUCUCAGAAGAUGAUAAUCCACUGCUUUAAUUUGAUUCACAUUGAUCAGACCCAAUUCAAUGAUAACUGCUUUGUUAGUGUUCAUCGUCUUUUAACCCAGUUGAGAUUGCUAGUAUUCCUGGUAUUUCCAGUGAAGAUCUAUACUAAAAUCAUGUAGAUGAUUUGAAUUUGAUUUGAUGUUUUUCUGUUGAUAAAAAGCAUUUUCCAUUGAUUGCAGUAGAGAUUUUUAAUAAAAGCCUGAUGACAAUA